CAUCAAGCUAUGGAAAAAAAAUUGAUAGGGAACUAUGCCAGUCUUAUAUUCUUUUGUGAAGGAAAUACUUCUCCCAGUAGUAUGCAGCCUUCUGAAUACUGUGUAAUGCCAAUGCUCUUUAAUUGAACAGUUUCAAACAUGAUGAAUGUCAACAACACAUGGCAACUUGAUUUAAUUUUUUUUUAAGAAAAAAUGUUAAUUUAGCAAUCAAUUUCUUAACACAUUUCAGUGCUAAAAAGGCAUAAGCAAUAAAAAGGGCUGUGUGAGCUUGGCAAUGCUGGAGAGAAUACAAUAACUGUGAUGUUUUGAUGACCAGUAAUAACUGGUCAUCAAAAGUGAAUGAUGCCAGCUGAUCAUGUGCAUAUGCAUUUAAUUUUUUUAUUUUUUAUUUUUUUAAUUAAAAGGUGUAAACUACCUCCAUGAUUUAUAUAGACUGGAUGAACAGAGUAUUUUGAAAAUGUUUUGAAACCUUUCACUGGGUUUUGAUUACCAGACAAGCACUGCUUCAGAGCAGCAGAUAAAAGGCUAGAAACGAAUGUCUGAAGUCUUGUUUGUACCUGGGAACAAAAGAUGGGCAAAAGUAAAAUAUUGCUUGUGUGACACUGUUUAGAAGCAUUAAUUUAAUAUUGCAUAAAUGAGAACAAAAGAGGCUGCUUCUAAGAAGACAUAGAACUACAUAAGAUUUAAACAAAUGUUUAAUGUAACUUUCAGUAAAAAUUUCACAAUAAUCCAUGAUGAGCAGAGAUGAAGGAGACUGGGGCUGAGACACUUGCAGCAAUGGUACACACUUGGUAAUACUGGCAUGGUGCUAAAGCAGACAGAACCAUGUGGAUGCUUGUAUAACAAUUGAAAACUGCCCUCUGUUUCUGGUGUUAGGUAACUUUUAAAGGAACCUGAGAACCUGUGACUGGAUGCAGUGAAUCACCUCCAGCUAAAGGAGGAGGAUGGCUUUUGAACACCAAACCAAAAUAGGGGUCAUGCCUUAUAACACCUUUUUUCAGAGCAAGCUACUAGUCCUGCCAAGGUAGCACUUUACAAAUGUAGUUGCAGCCUUGCAUUAUGUUGUCUUUUGUACCUUGGAAAUGUUGCUUUUACAUAUUCAAAACCUAAAAACAGUAAGUUUGUUUAGCUCAGAGUUACAUCCACUUCUUUAUUUGGGCUCUAAGAAUUGUUAAUUGCGAGAUUUUUUUGUUGCACACCCAAGUUUGGACUGAAAAGGGGAUAAGAUUACAGUUCUGUUUUACCAUGUACUCUAAAUAUGUUGAGGCUAGUAAUGCUAAACAAGAAAACCGACAUUUGUUUCUAGCAUCACUGAAUGUUUUCUACAUUACUAUAGUAUCAUGUUUUAGGCAGAACUGUAGGGGUUUUUUGUUUGUUUUUAAAAACCUGUAAUUUUUUCUUAGGCCUUUAGUUUGAGACAAUGAAAUAAAAUACAAAAAGUGUCUUUUACAAACAUACUAUAGAUUAAAAGUAAGAUGAACUUGCA